rnacentral:rRNA from 1 species
CACGCCGUAAACGAUGAAUACUAGGUGUAGGAGGUAUCGACCCCUUCUGUGCCGCAGCUAACGCAAUAAGUAUUCCGCCUGGGGAGUACGUUCGCAAGAAUGAAACUCAAAGGAAUUGACGGGGGCCCGCACAAGCGGUGGAGCAUGUGGUUUAAUUCGACGCAACGCGAAGAACCUUACCAAGUCUUGACAUCCACUAAAUCCCGCAGAAACGUGGGAGUGCCCUUCGGGGAAUAGUGAGACAGGUGG